rnacentral:rRNA from 1 species
UACGGAGGGUGCGAGCGUUGUCCGGAAUCACUGGGCGUAAAGGGCGCGUAGGUGGCGCGGGAAGUCAACGGUGAAAGUUCGGGGCUCAACCCUGAAUCGGCCGUCGAUACUCCCGGGCUCGAGCACUGUAGAGGCAGAUGGAAUUCCGGGUGUAGCGAUGGAAUGCGUAGAGAUCCGGAAGAACACCGGUGGCGAAGGCGGUCUGCUGGGCAGUUGCUGACACUGAUGCGCGACAGCGUGGGGAGCAAACAGG